rnacentral:rRNA from 1 species
CGCGCAGGCGGCUGGUCAAGUCCGAUGUGAAAUCUCCCGGCUCAACUGGGAAACUGCAUCGGAAACUGAUCGGCUUGAAGGUGGGAGAGGGUAGUGGAAUUCCCGGUGUAGUGGUGAAAUGCGCAGAUAUCAGGAGGAACACCGAUGGCGAAGGCAGGUCUCUGGGCAUCUACUGACGCUGAGGAGCGAAAGCAUGGGGAGCGAACA